GAGCGUGAGCACCCAGCGGGCUGGAAGUAACGCCUGUUGUAGAGGCGAGGGACAGGUCAUUGCUACUGUUAGUCUGCACCUCCACCGAGCUCUGACCUGGCCUGUGGGCAGGACAGGGACCAGGGCUUCUCAGGUCUACUUCUGUCGGCUGUGCGAGCUCAGACGGUGUUUGCAAGGAAGAAGGGACCGUGGCCUUGGACGGGUUGAUGGAACCACAGUCAUCACCCUGAGCUCUACUUGGAAGCUAACGUGAGCACUGAUACUUCGCUUUGAAAAUUUCACGCUUCGAUCGGCGCUUUGAAAAAAAUCAGCUUUCGUUUUUUCUCAAUCCAGUGGCAAAGGUGGUGUAGGAUAAUAUCUUACCUUAAUGGUCUCUCCUGUAUCUGCUCCAUCCCUCCCUCUGCUUCUUUCUGCUUUCCCUCUCAUCAUCUAAUUUCCCUCCUUCUCCAUUUUCUUUUCCUUCCUAAAGGAAAAAUUGUCCUUGGCGGUUUGUCAUUGGGCUUGCCUAGUUGCUGCCCUCUACUGUCCCCUGCUGGAGACGAAGGGGAAGCGCGAGCCUCCCUCUGAGACUGCGGAAGCUGUGAGUUGGUGGUACCGUCUAGAAGGAAUAGCAAGGAAGGCAGAUAGGGGAGCCCUGAAACUCCUUGUGGUUAUUCUUGCCAGUUCAUCUGUUUCUGUAUCCUUUCUGCAAAGGCUGGAAAAUCCAGAAUAUACAAGUAUGUUUUUUUUUUUUCUUUUAGCCCAGCUCUGAUUGCCUCUCAUUUAGUUCUGCCUGACUCGCUACUACCUGAAACCUAGGGAUCUCUUUGCCAAGGAGAAGCUGUGUUUUAUGAUGUGCAGAUGUGCCCAAAUUAAACGUCCUGAAGACACUCGCAGCUGCAGGAAUAGAAGCAGGUGCCUGGAUGUAGAGUGAUGAGAAGACACCAUCUGCCGUAAAGGAGCUCACCUUGACUCACGUGGCCCAGCAACGUCUCAUCAGCUAAGAACUCUAGAUUAUUAUACAAAAUCAUCAUAAUGUUUGUCUUGUGAUGACAGAUUGGAAUUUAUUUCUCUAAUCCAAAACAUCGGUCAAUGGAAUACAAACUACCCUUGUCCAAGGACCAAUCGGGUUUUCUGUGAAGGCUCAGAGAGGUUCUGCAACUUGACCACAUCACACAGCGAUGGAGCCUAGAUUUAGCCCAAUCAUUUUUUUCUCUAUUAACCCCAAACCAAAAGACCAGAGGGCCCAAAGAAAGCUGAGAAGGUUGACUGCUGUGCAUUGCCUUUAAGUGAGCAAAUCAUUAUUCUUAAUAAUAGAAAACAUGGCUGUGUGCUAUAGUUGAAGAAAGGUGAAAAAAUAGAAAAAUGUAUUGAGCUUGGUUAACAAUUAAAAGAAUAAAUAAAUUAAUUUAUUCACAUAAUUUCAGUCAGUGGAAAAUACCUGGAAAUCAAUUUUGCAGAGGAGACUUUGACCUAUUGACUUUAGCGAUGACUCAGUGGGUGUUGAAAUUAUCUUGACUUCAGGUUUAGAAGGUAAAUAAAAGGUAAGUCAUUACAUUAUUUCUGGUUAAAUGUUUUCCAGGAGCAUGAGAGUCAAUGUAGAAAAUCACAUCCAUCUGUCCUGCUGGUCUCUGUAAUCAACUUUUGAUGUCUUCAAAACAAGGUGAGUGGCACUUUCAGACAAGAAGGAAGAUUGUCCUCAGAUGGUCACAUUGGGUCUGGCUGUACAGCACUAUGUUGGUUAUUAUAAACACACAAGAAAAGUGUAAGCUGUGGUUCCUGCCCUCAGCUGACGUUAAAUCCACAGGAACACAAUGCCCCGAAUUGGAAAGGGUCUCAUGGGACAACAGUGUCUAUGUUAUUUUUAAUCUUGUGUCCCUAGGACCUGCCUCCUGCCCAGCGCAGAUUGGGCCCCUAUGCACAAUUGCUGUCCGAGAGGCAUUAGGGCAACUUCCCACUCAGCUCAGAGGCCCCCCUCCAGUGUGUGUGGUGUUUACUUGAAGACAUUUACAUACAGGAAUCUCUCCACCAUGCUGGCAGUCCAUUCUAUUGCUAAAUCACUCUUUCCUUCACAUCAAGUCAAGACCUGCCUACCUUGUAACCUCACAAAUGGGCCCAGAUUCUCCCCCUCAAGAUCUACAUAGCCUAAGUCAAUUCUCUGGUCUAUAUGUUGGCCUGUAGGUAUUUAGGGAUAUCCAUGUUGUAUCAUGCUACCCUUCUCUGACCUCUGUUAUCUCUUUCUUCAGGUACUUCUCAGGUGUCUUAGUUUUGAGACCACCUCAUCAUCUUAUUGAAUAGGCAAGUCUAGCACCGGUGGUUAGAAAUAGGAUGAAUCAUCUUGUCACUGGGGGUCACAGGGAUCUGAGUGGAGGCAAACUUGUACAUGCACAGGUGAAGGGCAAUUCAGGAAUUAGUUGAUAGUGACAUAGGCCACUUGCCACUCAUAGGACAGGAGGAUUUCUACUGGUUUCCAAAGACUUACCUGGACUCUCAAAAGGAGUUACAAUGAGACUAAAAAACAGAGAGAACAUUCUUCUCCAUAGAUUAGACUUCUUAAAAGUGGAGAGGGAACAUGUAUGAGGCUAGUUAGUGGAAGACCAGUAAGAGGGGACCAAGUCUCCAUUCGUCUUGAAUCUAACAAGGCUCUCAGCUGGUAGCAUGUCUUCACUACUUGUUACGUGAUCUCUAGAAAACAUGUAGGGAUGUGGAACGUCAUUGCUUCUGGCGUUCUUGUUAGAACAUUAGAAGGCGACAGCUUGAAAUAGAGAGGGUGCCAAUCACAGGGCCAGGGCAGGUAAUGUGGGCAAUUUUCUCUUUCCAUGCUGGGAUUGUGCAACAGGCAGCCACAUCAUUCAGCACAUUAAGCAACAAUUGAGCCUCCAGGACUCAGAUUCUAAUGGAGACUGAGGCAGCGUGAGGAUGCAUAUUAGCAGGAAGGUAAGGGUAAGUAAGAUGGAGAGGGACGGGAUGGGUAGGGAGGAAGGAAUGGGAGCAGCUUAGCAUGAGUAGGAGCCCCACACUCGGAGUCGGAACUGACCCCUGGUGCCACUAUUUAUUAGCUAUGUGACCUAACUAGAGAUUUCAUCUUGCUAUGCCUUAGUUUCUUCAUCUGUGAAAUAUGGGCAAUAAAACCUGGCUAGUAGAUAUGUGCUAAGGAUUUAGUGAGAACAUUUGCAAAUUCUCCACCUCGGGUGGUACACGGUGAACUAUCAAUAAAUGGGGGCUCUUUUUAAAAUUUAAAAAAAAUUGUAUAAUUUUUUUGUUUUGGAGAGAGGGAGAGUGCACUUGAGCAGGGGAGAGAGGCAGAGAGAGAGAGAGAGAGAGAGAGAGAGAGAAUCUUAAGCAGGCUCCACGCUCAGCACAGAGCCAGAUGCAGGGCUUGAUCCCACGACCCUGGGAUCAUAAACUGAGCUGAAAUCAAGAGUCAGACCUCAACUGACUAAGCUGCCCAGGUGCCCCAUCAUAUAGAAAUUCUUAAUUAAGAAGUAUGGCUAUUGAAAUAAAAAUAAAAAUACUUAAAUAAGGGGCGUCUGGGUGGUUCAAUUGGUUGAGCAUCCAACUCUUGAUUUCAGCUCAGGUUAUGAUCCUACGGUUUGUGGGUUCAAGCCCUGCAUCAGGCUCUGCACUGUCAGUGCUUGGGAUUCUUUCUCUCCCUCUCUUUCUGCUCUCCCCACCCCCGCUCACACUCUCUUUCUCUCAAAAUAAAGAAACAUUAAAAAAAAUACUUAAGUAAGUAAAAUAAUAGAUCAAAUAUAGACCAGGAAAAAAUUCAAUCUGGAAUCCCCUUAAGUGCCUCCUCUCUGUCUUUUAAAUGCAAAUUUUGUGUAGGGAUUUGCAUAGCAGGCAGAUGUUGGAAGCUGAAUUCUCACCAGGGUCCACAUCUUGUCCUCUGCCCACUACCCCACGUGGCCAUGGGCCCCCCAUUUCAUUCCAUAGUGGUGGGUUGCCCCACCCAGAAGCCUAGAGUGGUCCAGCAGGUGUUGGCACUUAGAAAAUUACCUAUAGUCAUACCCUGGCGACACAGAUGAAGGACAACAUGCAAGGAAAAAUGUAAUUUUCUUUUGAACAUCUCACAGUCUCUUCCUCGAGCUUACUGUCCUAAAAUUUGCAUUUGAAACUUUAUUUCUGUUGACACAUGGAUCAUGAAUGACAAUGCCAAUAUACAUUCUGUUGUAUUGCAACUUGAUUUGCAUAAGUACUAAAGUUCGCUGCUUGGUCAACAUGCUUUAAUUUUUCAUAUGUGUAUGUAUGUAUGAUUGUGAUUUUUCUUUUCCAAAACAAAUGUCGCGUGGUUUCUAAAAGUUGGGAAAAAAAUAAAAGUUGGAUCUUCCCCUCUUAAGUUAAAUGGGACAGAGCUACAUAGCUGGCUAGGAGGUUUUGUGUGGUCCCAGAGCCUCGACCUCCUCCUAGGCUGUGUUGCUGUGUGUCUGAAGACUGCUGGACAGACACCAAGACACCAUCUGCAAGAGGGGGUGGGGGGCCUUCGGGGGCAGAACCCACCUCCCUGGAAUAGAGCCAGGCCUGGAAGGCCUGCCUGGUACUAAAGCCUCCCCCGUGGUCAAAGGGAACAAUAAAAUAUUGUCUGUUACUUA